rnacentral:rRNA from 1 species
GGGUUUACACAAACGGUGGAUUAUGUGGUUUAAUGCGAUAAUACGCGCGAAAUCUUACCAAUUCUUGCAUAUAAUUAAAUUUUUUUGGCAAAUUAUUUUAAGUAAUUUUUUUAUACAGGUGCUGCAUGGCUGUUUUCAGCUCGUGUCGUGAGAUGUCGGGUUUAGUCCUGGAACGAGCGUAACUCUUUUUCUAUAUUGGUAAUUUUUUUUUAAGAAAAACAACUUAUAGCAAACCGCUGUUUAUAAAACAGAGUAAGAAGAACGACAACAAGUCUUUAUGGCCCUUAUGGAUUGGGCUACACAUGUGAUACACUGAUAAAAACAAAAAGUAAUGCAAUAGAGUAAUUUAAAGCAAAUCUUAAAAAUUUAUCUUGUUCGGAUUGUAGACUGUAACUCGUCUACAUAAAGUUGGAAUCGUUAGUAAUCGCGUAUCAUCACGCUGCGGUGAAUAAUUUUACCUAAAUCUU